UACGAAGGGGGCUAGCGUUGCUCGGAAUCACUGGGCGUAAAGGGUGCGUAGGCGGGUCUUUAAGUCAGGGGUGAAAUCCUGGAGCUCAACUCCAGAACUGCCUUUGAUACUGAAGAUCUUGAGUUCGGGAGAGGUGAGUGGAACUGCGAGUGUAGAGGUGAAAUUCGUAGAUAUUCGCAAGAACACCGGUGGCGAAGGCGGCCCCCUGGACCGGUACUGACGCUGAGGCGCGAAAGCGUGGGUAGCAAACGGG
rnacentral:rRNA from 1 species